CUGGCACCUGAAAUUACCGAGUAAACAAUUAUGUUAAAUAAUUUAGAGCUACAUAUUGUGACUAUUCCUAAGCAGCAAUCAAAACCUAAUGUGUUUAUAUGGAUUUAAUACAAUGUCUUAGGCUUCUCAGAGAAGCUACUUCUACACUUUAAUGCUUUAGCAGCUUACACUGAGACACUUAAUGGAAACUGAGGGUUGGUACUUAAGGCCAUGGGAAGUGAAAUGUUCCUUGUUUACCUUGCAAAUAUUUGGAAACUAAUUAUUCCUUAUAUUCUCAAUAUCUCAUUUUGAAUUUGGGGGAUAUUUUAUCCAUAGGGUAGAAACCUAAAAAAAACAACCCCCAAACAACCAUAACACACCUCCCUCCCCCCUCCUCCCAACCCCCAAAAAAUCAAACCAGACCAAAAAUAACCCACAAACAAAAAAAACCAACAAACCCAAAAUAAGGCAAAUAUAAACAGCUGAAGACUGUGGACAACAUAUUUGGGGUAAGUGGAAAGGGUAAAUUUGGUGCUGACCUGGCAGGCUCAUGCUCGGGGUAUCAGUGAUCACUUCUUGAGCAGAACACUGGUCAGGACCUGAAGUGCCCGAGUGCUGCCCUUGGACAUGCACCAUGUGCAGCUGGGACUGACCCGGAGGGCACCCUCAGUGCCUUCUCUUCAGGACGUGUGGCAGGCUGAGCCCGGGGCAGGAGGUGCUCCAGGCAGUGUCCCUGGGCCUGUCCCACGGUGAUGUGUGCAGCCAAGAGCCCUUAGCAGGGCAAGGAUGGGAUGGAGGAGGAGGGGCUGGUGCAGCAGCUCCAAGUCCUCAGCUGGGCGUCUCUUUGGGGAGCUGGUGAGUGUAGGGCUGAGGGACUCUCAUGGCUGCAGUGCAGCCCCUAAGCCUGGGGGAAGGGCAGGGAGACCCCAGGAGCAUAGCUUCUCUCAGGAUGAGGGAUGGGGGCAUCCUGGUGUGCUGAAUCUCCAAAAGGGAGCAACUCUGGAUCAAAUAUACCAUUUGCGUUGCUGACACUUACAGAAUUCACAGUGGUUUGUAUAAAAACCUGGCAAAGACCCUUUUGAUGUGACAGAGCUCUGCAUUAUGUAGCACCAGGCACCCUGUUUGCUGGAGAGACCUGAGCUCCACUGUUGCAAUGGAGACAACACUUCAGGCUCCAUUCUUGGAGCGAGAGGGCUGCUAGGAUAUAAAUUUUUUCUCUUUGCCUACAAAACAGGCAGGAGGAAAUUUGUCUGAUCUAGCAGCAGGAGCUGGUACUUUCUCAAGCUGAACAGCUCAGUGUGUGUGGAAGGGGGUCAGACAGACCUGUUUCACUGACUGAUGGACUCCCAGGUUGAAGCUGUGAGAUAAGUGCAUGCUGCUCUUCUCCUGUGAAAUGAGUUGCUGACCUCAAAGUCUGGGGUGAGGAGAUCCACAGUGUGCCCUUCUCGUGAAUUUUCUUUAAUCUAGAAAAGAACAUUUGCCUUCCAGUGAUGCAUCUGUUUUGCUUUCCAAAGUUGACAGUGACGCUGAUCGAAUGUAUUAUUUGGUGCUACAGUAGUGCAGUUUAAGAGAACGUGGAGCUUAUUAAUAAUUAUUAAUCCCUUGACAUCCACAGGUGCAGGUGGGUGGUAAUUUGGUCUCCUCCAGUGUAUGAAUUAUUCAUAGAUUUUUUAGAAUUUGUAGGUAGACAUUAAAUUAUUCUUCUGUUCCCAGAUGAGAUGAAUGAUGGAAACAAACAUAAAAAACAAGAAACAAAAAACCAUGCCUCUGCUCCAAAGUGAAAAGUCAAUACAUAUUCUCAUAAUGAUUCCGGGGGUUAUAUGGUAGAGCUUUGGGUCAUGGUAAUCUGUCUAGUGAAUUUGAGCAAAGGCAAGGAGUGGAGAAACACUUAUGAAAAAUAUAAAGGAAAAUGUAACAGGAAUUAAUGAACUCAGUGCUACUUGGAAGCUGGUCUGACAUAGAUAUAUAUUCCUCCCGCAGACAGUUUCUUGGAGAGAGAGUCUAUUUUAGAGGGAGAUGGUUAGGCAUGAAGUAUAGCAUUAAGUCUUCAGCCUUGGAGGUAUGAUUGAUUUAUUUGGAAAUGAUGAGUGAUUAUGUCCUAAUGAUGUUUUGAAAGACAUGAAGUGCAUUCCACUAUGCGAGUGACCCUUGGCUUUAAAUUCCAAGAGAUGACAGUUCCUGGGCACGUCAGUGAAGGGACAGAGGGAAACUGGCACAUUGUGCCACUGUAAUCAGUGUGAAACUGUGUCAUCUGUUUGAUUUCAGUAGCCAAUUCUCCAAGAAACCUGAGAAAGCUGUAACUAGGGGGUUGGUGGUUGGGAAUAGAUUAACAGAAAUACUUUCAUCGUUCUUUAUAGAAGUAGUUUUGAUAUUUUUUACACCUCCUGGUCUUUUGCUGAGAAGCUGGAUCUGUUUUGCUUUGUGUCCAUUUUUUGUGAUUCAUUCUUUCUGGUCUGUGAUACCUGGGUAGUUUGGUUAUCCACAGUUCAAUUGCUGUGCCUCCUGCUAAUACUGUGUUGUGGUGUUGUAAGAGAAUCCACUUAGCUUAACAGCUCUGUGGCUGCUUCUCUCUCCCACCUCAUUUUCUGAAGGUGAAGAUGCCAAAUAAGCAAUGGUCAUGAUUCUUGGAGACCUCUGGGGAUGUGUUUGAACAGAAACAUCCUUGAAGACAUGGAUUUUCCUUUCAUAAUAGUUGCUGAACACAGUAAAAAAAAAUCAGAUGUACAUCUUAUAAUUCCAUCCCAACAGUGUGACAAUCAGUGGCAAAAAAUUUGGGAAGUCUUUACUGUUGGAAGCUAUCUCUCUCCAACACAAAGAGAUAGCAUUAAUGAAUCAUCUUGCUGUAAUACUGAGAGUCCUUUUAAAGUGUGAGGCUAAGAGCUUUUAAAUUUAAUUUAUACCACAGGAUCUGAUUUCCAGCUACACUGAUCUGUUGUGUCUUCGCUUGCACUAAUUGUAACAAAGAUGUAAUAGUCAAUAGUGUAACAGGAAGUAUUAUCUAUAAAGAUGUUUGCUGUUAGCUCAUAUCUCAAAUUACUCUGCAACAUAAGUGCUAUAUACAGAUCUGAACACCACACUUUCAGAAAGAGAAAGAUCAAUCAGAGAGAUUCGUGUAAUAGUAGCCUUCAAAUACCUAAAAGGAUAUUGCCAUAUAAAGGAAUUUUACUUUUUUCCUUCAUGUCCUUGGUGCACAGCAUAUACUGCAACACAGGAGGUUCAGGACUUUGGUAAAGCUUGCUAAUGAUAAAGGCAGCAAAGCCUCAGUGAAAGUGGCAUACAGUGGCAUAGCUGUGGAGUCCACAUUAAUGAAAGUUAAAAACAAGCCAGGAAGGAGUCUGUCUGGAAUAGAUAUAAUUAAUAGGUGUUGUUAUCUCUGCCUUGCUGACUUCAGUCCCUUCUUAUAACACAAAAUGAUGUUUCUUUCUUAUAUGUAAUGUAUUUUUCUCUUAAAACAUUGUUAGUGGAUUGUGUGUAUUCAAUUAUAGUAAUUUGUCAGUGAAUUUCCCUUCCAUUUUCUGUUAUUAAUAGUAUUGUGCAGCUCUAAUGUGUGAAGGCCAUAAUGCAUAUUGGGAGUUUUACCAGGCUAUAAAAGCCUGUAGGAAGUCCUCAUGCUAACAAGCCUACAGCCUGAAUAAUGACCAGGUGAAAAGUACGAGAUGGAGUACAGUAAUUUUUACAGAAAACCAUGUUUUCCUUAAAAAGCUAUGACCUGAAAGAAGUCUUUUGAGUCCAAGUAUCAAUUUGCUCUUUGAGGAACUUCAGUAAGGCUGGAGAUGGCAAUUUUUGCAGGAUUUCUUUCUGUUUAAGGAUCUUAGCAAAUUUAAGCUCGGAAAUUAUCUGUUGAGAGAGAUGAGAGAAAGAAGAACAAUGCAACACAGCCAUAUGGGCUUUGUUCUUACACAUGGUUUGACUCUGUGGGGGACAUCAUUCUCCAGCCUGUCAAAGCUCAGCAUACAACGAAAAGUUCUGAUGUAAUGGAUUUUCUUUUUAUGAGCAGUCAAUUUGUCUGGAGCCCAGGCCUUUAAACUUGGCUGACAGGAAAAUUCUCUACUGAGAAUUGACUGGCAGACAAACAACACUGGAAUUCUAAGUAUUUCUUAUAUCUCUGAAGAAUCUGGGUUUCCUUUAUAAUACCUUAAUUAUAAAAGCUAUGCUUUUAGGAUUGCUCUUAAUUGAAUACACUUGUUUAUUUUCUUCCUACCAUGUGAGUUUCCCAACUCCAGCCAACUCUGUCUAGCCAGAGGUGUUCCCUGCAGACUGAAAAUCAUUUAGAUGGUUUAUUUUAUUGUAUGCCUAACUCUUUGUAUUCCAAUCACCUGAUUGACCCGAAUCUGUCCAAAUGUAGUUGGAUUCAGUGGUCUUUAUGGGUCCCUUCCAACCUGAGAUAUUCUAUGAUUCCACUGUUUAUAUAGAAAGGUCAAUAACAAGGAUGACACUUAAAAACUGAGCUCCCAGCUACUACCAUUAAAAGUUCUUUCGCUGCUUGAGAUUACAGCUCAGAAAGAUGUAGGUGAAUAUUAAGGCAACUUUUAGCAGGAACUAUUUGUCUAAUUUGCAAGUCCUUACAGUGCUGCUGAAACAGCACUUACAGGAGGGUAAAGAAAUGCUGCCUGCACUAGAGACAAGCUAUGCAGCUAGAAUCAAAUGCUCAUGAUGUCUUCUCCUGGCACAGCUUCCUCUGUGCUGGCACAAAUGUCUGAUGAACAAAUGUCUCUGAUCCCAGGGGGGAAAUUUCUAUCCCAUCUGGUGCAGCUCCACAUCCUUUACUGUCAAACAGGGGAGUAAAGGUUGCUUAGCAUGAAUGACUUCGCUCAUGGUGCUUUCUUGUUACUCAGUUUGUUUGUCAUGCUGCAUCUUCAGCAGCCUCUGAAACGUUUUUACAAAGUCCCCUGUGGAGGAAGGAAAAAGUGUGGCUUUGAACAAAUGUCUUAAGAUGGAGAGUCAUGUCUGUUUUUUCUUUUGAUCCCACUGCCUGGCCAGUUUAGAGGUUGUAUGCAGUUCUGAUGGAUGCACUGCUUUAUCUCCAUCUUAGCAGGGGAAAUAAAAUAGUAGCUUUGUCUACUCAUCAAUACAUUGCUGAUAAAAGAAGUAGUUGUCUUUCAUGAUUGGGCAUGCAUACUGAAGCCCUGUCUGAAAGCCUUUUGUUCCUGCUUUAAACAUGGCGAAGGGAACAGACAAUGGAAAAAAUAAAGUAGGUUUGAUUGCAGCAGAGUUGUUUGGUUUUAUUGCUUUGAUUUUUUACACAAAUUGACUAAAAUGGAAAUGAAGACUGUUGUUUUCUAGUGGGGUUGGUAAACAUUCAAUAAGUUUUUUGAAGUUUCAGAUUUUAUGUAGUGAAUGCGCACAGGAGCCUUGGAAGCGGUCAUUCUUGUGUGGUAUAUAUUCUCUCCAAUUCCACAAUGAAAAAUUGUAAUAAAAGAACACAAAGAUCUGUAAUUCAGUGCUGCUUCAGAGGCUUUUCCUUUUGCUCUGAACAGAGUACUAAUUGCAGAGAUUUGACAGCUCUUGGGUAUUCGUCACAUGUACUUGCCCUUACUUUAGAUGUUUAAUUUAGUUGCAAAAUAAUUCUUCUUGAAUUUGUAAUUGUAAUAAUUGCCAUUAAUAACCUGGCAAGGUAGUUGGCCUUUGGCAUUACAUCAGGGGAAAAAUGAUAGUAAGAUAGCUCUUGUCUGAAGAUUUAGAGAGCUAGAGAACAUCAGGAGGUCGGGGGCGGAUGGAGGGGUGUUGAGGGAAGAGAAUACCAGAAACAAGGCAUCAUGACAGGCAUCUUGGGGUUUGCAAUCGGGAUUUAUGCAACAGGCUUAUGCAAUUUGGCUGUACUUCUUUGUAGAGGAAGAAGACAAGGUGUCAAAUGCAAAAGAAAUAACAGGGAGGAUGAGGAAGGUGAAGGCAGGAGAGCGUGAAAUGACAGGCAGUUGGGAGUAUUUUGGAAGUAGAACAAAGCCCUGUGCUGAGAGCUGUAUCAGUGGUGGCUCAUGCAACAGCAAAGCAAAAAGUAUUUUUCCACGGGUAGGCUGCCCAUUUCAGUAGAUGAAUAACUCAUCCACACUGAGGUAGGAUGAUCCUACAGUGGAAGGGGUGGGCUUCUCAAAGCAGUAUGUGUAACAGCAGCUGUCUCCCUUUCACUGAUGGUCUGCUCCUGGUGCAGUGGCCUGGUGGAAGGCAGAGAAAGCAAUGGUGACCUUGCUCUGAGGGUGCAGGAGUAGCAGGGCUGCCUGAGUGUGAGGGGAGUCCUGAGCUGGGGACAGCAGUGGGCUCUGUCAGGAGCCCCAAGGUGAUGCCCAGGGAGCCUGGCUGGGACAGCAGGGCACCAGGGGCUUGGCCAAGACAAAAGAGUGUCCUUGGGCCUGAAGACAGAGGCAGGCUGGAGGGAGUGGGGAGCCAGGGUAGGGAGAAAAGGCAGGUGGUCAUAGAAAUUAAUGCUUGUCAUUGCCACUCAGACCUGGCAGGAUUGCCCCUCCCUUGUGUCGGGAAGAAUUAAAAGGUGGUCAGUCUUUUAGUGGUAAAUGUGACCAACAGCUACCUAGUAUGUUGUCUUCCAUUUUUCUGAGGAUAGCUCUUCCUCUGCUUUUCCACUGAUGGUGACUAACAUCCAGGUGAUUUCAAGAAGCCAACUCCAGGACAUAGUUAAAAAUAAAAAAGUACAAGGAGAGGUGUGUGCCAAAGACUGAUGCUGCUGUGCCAGACAGCUGCUGCUGCAGAUGUGGCUGGGCGUGAGGGCAGCUGAGCCAGAGAGACUGAAGCUGUAGGUCAGGGGAUCUCUGGAGCUCUCAGGAGCUGCAUGCUCAUCCUUAUGUCCCUGCCAGUCUACAGCCUUCUCAGGCAUGGGCCGACUGUCACAACCUUUGAAUCAGUAGGUACUGUUUUGGGACUGGCUUGGGACAUGUGUGUUGUGAUUUUGUUUUAAACAAGGAUGACAACUGAUCCCCAUUCCUGCCCUUCUUGCUUGCCUUGUGUGAUGGUUAUCACAGUAGACCGAAUACAGAAAGGAGAGACAUAAGGGUCUAUAAAUUAAACCCUAUCUGCAGUUAAGCUCUUCCAUGCCCUCACCAGUGCUGUGAGUCCUGUGGCCACCAGAGGCUAGAGAGGCUGCCUGGCACCUUGUCAGCACCUGGCAGCAGGACACCCUCACACCCCUGGCUCUGGCCUCUAAAAUGAUGUCCAGACUGAUGCAGCCAGUGGUUAAUCAGGACACAGAGAGCCCUGGUCUAGCCAGUGGCCUGCCCAAAGCAAUUUCCUUCGCUUUGUUAGAAAGGAGAAGCAUCUUUCCUCACUUCUCAGUGGAACUGGAAAAGUACAGUAUGUAAUUUUUCUACUGCCUGCGAGCAGAAUUUGAAUUCUUCUCUAUUCUUUAAAAUAAGAGUUUGCAUCUCAUUCACUGAAGUUAAAACGUUCCUCAAUGAGGAAAAAAUUUCAACUCUGCCUAUCCCAAGCUGUCAAAGCAUGCAAGAGCAGCAAACAGAUUGUGGGUACCAUUAGAAAGCAUUAGUGUCUAAUUACUUCAAAAUGGACCACAAGGGAAAAUGAAAGUUAUCUAUUCUUGGUAUUGCUGUUGUUUCAUUUGUCGAUAAGCACAUCAGUCUUUGGCACUCAUUUUGGCUGUGAAGGAGUGUGAUUGACUAAUAAAUGUGUGUUCCUUUGUAGUCAGUUGCAGAAUGUUGGAAUAUUUUUGUAGCAAAAUCUUACUGGAGAAUCUCAGGCACGUUUUUUUUCCCUUAGCUACACAAGUGGAAUAAAAAUAUAUUUCUAUACUCCUCAUUUUCAAUACUAGAGCUGCUAAAGCAGCUGUGUAUCUUUUUUUCACUUGCAGCACAGUCAUUUGAAUAUGUGACCUCCAAUUUCUGUACAGAAGUUGUAGCUUAAAGGGUAAGACCAGACUAUGUACAGAGCUAGCAGAAAUGAUUCACUGGCUUUUAAAUCCAAACUGAUGGCCUUCAUAUCGCUGUUGAGUUUGUGAACAAUGGAAAGUCAAUGGGUUUGGUUUGAAAAAGGAUGCAAUACCUUGAUAAAACACAGCAAUGUGUCACCCUGUGAUGUUCUGGAACACAAUAAGUGUUUAAUAUGAUUUUCUUCCACCUGAACAAACACUGUCAAUUUGCUCUUGGACACUUAUAAUUUGCUCCUACAUAAUUUCUCUUUCCUUGCUUCUACCCCACUCUUUAUAUGUCAGGCAUUGCUUGAUGAAAAGAGGUGCUUAUUGAAAAAAAAAAAAAAAGUCUGAUCAGGAGUGUAAACCCUUAGAAAAUAAGACUCAAUGCUGUGGAAGAAAGUUUGCAGCAGCUCAGGGCAAUGGCCUGUGUAAUUGCCAGGUCAAUCAAGCCAUGAAGCAGAGGGCAAAGGCUUUGAUUUCUACUCCUCCCAUUCGCAAGUACAUGCUGGGCUGUCAUUGCCUUCAGCUCCUACCCUUAAAAUCUCUCAAGCUGCCUUUCUGCUGGUGAUUCAUACUGGGAAAUAAACUUGCAAUAAGAGCAUUAGUAUAUAUUUUGAAAUCACAUUCAUUAAGCAAUUUUUUCAGAAAAAAUAGCUCUGCUGGACAUCUGACAAGAGACAACUUGUGUGACUUUGUAGGCUUUGAUAUUUAGUUAUUAGAAGAGGUACAUUUUGUUUUCUUUUCAUUGGUUUUUUCCCCACUGAGACAGUCAAUGUUAUCAGUUGAUUUCUCUAGGUUAUCAGACACAUGUUGAGAUAGAGGGCAGGUUUUGAAGCAAAUCUACAUAUAAAAUGUGCUGCAAGUGUCUGAUCUUUGACAGUCAAACAAACUUAGCUUACGGAAUCUAUCUUCACCUGUAGACUGAUUCCUUUCAUUUUGUUUGUUUCUUUUUUUUUUAUUGUGAAAGGAAAACAUGAUAAGUUGGUCAGUGAUCCAAAACUAGCUCAACUCAGCAGAAAAAGACAGUAAUUACUGCUUGACUCCUGUGAUCUAUUUUAGCCCCAGCUGAGUUUUUAAAGAGUGAUGUGAAAAGCCUUUAACAUAGUCGUGUUUUGUUAUAUUAAAUCACCUUCUGAACAAUCUCAUAGAGUAGACAAAGAUUUAGUGACCAGUGACGUAAACCUACUCGUCACAUUGAUGACAGCUUGUUGCCCCAGACUUGGGAAGGGUUAGAGUUACAAAUCUGUUUGAUUCACUUUCUGAAAAGAAAUUAAAGCGUUUGGCAGUCAGCCUAGGACCUUACUAAACAAUCUGAGAGAAAAAAGUUACUUUCUUUCGCUGCUUUCUCAAGGGAUGAGGUAGAGUCAGUGCAGUUCAAAUGAGCUUUGGAAGCAGUAGGUGUCUAUUGUUUGAACCAGAGUCACUGGACUAAGGCAGGUAGCCUGCAACAGGGCUGCCUCAGGGAUAUGAUUUUACCCAUUAAACAAAUUCACACAGAGAAAGGUUAAGGUUGGAAAGUUCCUCUGGAGACCAUUUAGUCCCCUCCCCUGCUCAGGCAGGGUCAGCUAGAGAAGGUUGCUCCGGACUGGGACUCCAAGAAGGGAGACUCCACAACUCCUCUGGGCAACAUGUUCCAGUGUUUGACUCACUGUAAAGCAAUUUUAUUUUUUCUGUUCAAGUGUAAUCUCCUGUAUCCCAGUUUGCAUUCACUGCCUCCUGUUGACAAAUACUGACAAAGUUCUUCCAUAUUCGGACACAUCUGCUGAUGCUAAUUUUCCUUUUUAGGUCCUAACUUUUAAUUUUCUUUUUCUACUUAUACUGCUAGCCAUUUAUUUGAUUGCUGGGUUUGCUGAUUCCACUUGUUUUUUGGGGCUGCAGUCUUGUAACUUCAAAAUUCCUUUGUUUUGCUGGGAAUUUGUUGUCCUGUGAGGUGAAGGCCAUAGGGUAACAGAAACUGUAAAACAUACUUUUUCCAUGUGCAAGCAGCAGAACAUGAAGGUCUGGAGGCAGCAAACAAGUAGCAUGUAAAAAACAGCUGUCUUGGUUAUACUUAUCAAAGCUGCUUCUUUGCCAACGUGUUGCUCCUUGCCCCAUUUUUUUCCUUUAGAAUGUGUCUCUCAGUCCCUCCUAUGGUUUACUCUUUGGUUAUGACCAUCCAGUGUUUUUCUUCAGACUAGAGAAGAUUUUUAUUCUCACUAACACUGUGGGGUGCACCUUUAAAAUUUUCUAUGUAACUGUGUAUAUUUUCAGAAGACUUCUAGCAGUGCAUAGAUCAUCUUGAAGACUGAAAAUUCGAGAAAACUUACCCUCAUGUGAAAAAAAAAAAAGGGUAAGUUUAAAAAAAGCACCCAGAAAAAUAAUGUUUUUGCUCUUGAGUGCUUUUGGAAAAUAGUUGUCAUUUCUUGGAAGGGGUUAAAAAAAAAAAAUCAAUAUUUUUUUGAUUUUUAAAUUUCAUCAGAGUGUUUCCUCCAUGUGAAAAAUUUUUCUAGAGAAGCAGGAACAGAUUCAACCCCUAUUCUAGGAUUUACCUCACAUUUCAUGAAUAUAAAAAUAUAUAUUGAUUUUUCUAAAAGCAAUUCCCAUAGCAGAAGCCAGAAGGAUCGCUGUCUUGACUUUGCAUCCUUUAAAAUCCUAAUUAUAAAUUUGAUCUGCCACUCCAUUUGAAUUUUAAAAAAAUAUUAACCACUUAGCUUGGAACUACAUUUGUGUUUUCUAAAAAUGUUGUUUCCUUUUGCAGAAAAACAGCAAUAUCUUUUUUUCUUUUUUUUUUGGUGGUUUAACUAAUAUUUCCCCAUCUGUGCUUUGCUUCUGCACUCUCUUUGUGGGAAAACUGAAGUCACAACCAGAAUGCCUGGCAACAGAAGCAAUGGACUUGAUAUUUAUAUUAGAAUUGUAACACAUGGACAUCUGUUCUCUCUACCCUUUAAAAGAUAUUGCUUCCAAGGACUAAUAUUUAGUUUUUUCAAUUGUGGGCUGCUGAUGAUAGGUAAGGUUGAUGGGAGCCUUUAAAGAGACUCCACUCUAGCCCAUUGGGUGGUCCCUGCCCAGCAGGUGCCCCGGGGCAGAUGGAUGGAUGGACAGACAGAAGUGUCUUUUUCCAGCCUGGGGGCUGAGGCAGUGCUGGGUUGGCCUCCUUGAAGUGCUGAGGCAGAGCUGAGUGACUCUGAGCCCUCUUUCAAGUUUGCUGCUGAUUUGCUGAGAGAUCACUUCCUUCUGCCUCCGUUCUCUUACACAUAAAAUAAGAAUAUUGAAACCAGUCUCAUUUGAUCAAAUAUUUUGAGCUCUACCGAAGGAAAUGUGCUGGUCUUAGAGGUCUUCAUCACUAAGACAUUCACCUAUAAAAGAGAGAGGACCAAAGAAAUUUCAGUACUGCAGAACAACAGCAACAGGGAGGAUGCAUUCAGCAAGAGAUUAGUAUUCAACCUUAAUAUGUGUGUCUAAUAAUUAUUUUUCUCCUGAUUUAGAGUGAGAUUUUUGUGGCAGUCAGCUUUCUGUUCAAAAGCAGUUUUGAAUGAACAGGUGGGCUGGCAUGUCUGCACUUUGCCUUUUCCUUUGGGAGCUUGAUACCUGUUAUCCCAAAAUGUCUGUACGCCGUAUUGGCAGUCCCAUAGGAACUCAGUCUUCCUGACGGUGGGUUCAGCCCCUAAACACACAUAUUCAUACAGCGGUUGAAUUACAGAGUGUUGAAGAUGUGGAUGUUGCACUGUUUAUUAUCUUCCUUCUGGAAGGUAUGUUUAAGGCUUGAACCCUGAACUGCGAUAAUUAAAAUGCCUCACCGGGGAUGCCAAGAUGAGAUGGAAAUACCUAUUCCUGGCUACAGCCGGUGUAGCCUGCCCUUAGAGCAAAUGCAGCAGAGAUAAGCCUGUUCUCUUGCUAAAGAGGUGUUGGAUAGUCUGCAUACCUACUCCUGCAUUAUUACUAGGAGGUAACAGGCUUAAUUACCCAGAUGCAAAGCAAAAGCACCCUGUGCACAAACCUUUUCAGGAGGCACAGGAGCCAGGCUGCAGCCAAACAGGGUACUUGCUCCCUUUCUGCCCUGCCUCAGGCUGCAGAUUGGUUUUGGCUUUGGGAAGUUUCUUUGUAGCAUUUCUGCGUAGGUAAGAACAUUUUUAAGUGGUAGGCUGAGGGGUAAACCGUAGCACAGGGAAGAUGGGAAGAAUGUGUCGCCCUGUUUUCUUCCCACAAUUAUUUUAUUUAAUUUUCAAACGCCAUCUAAGACAACAUUGGGGAUUGUGAUGCCCAAAUAUUUGUCUAGCAGGGGUUAGCUUGUACUGCCUAUAUUUCUUCUCUCCUGGCUACAGCGCUGUACAUUUCCACCAUCUCUGCAAUACUUCCUGCUUAGAAAUAAAAAACUGUCAGUCUUGAACGAGCUCUAUGUUAAUGCACCGAGUAUGGGGAUGAAGGAAGGCAAAAUUAUUUCUAUGCAGUGAGAGGUGGGAAAGUUACACUGUUCUAUUGAGAGGCUUGCUUGCAGUGCUCAGGCAACAAUACAAACAACAGUAGGAAAGAAAAAUGCUGCAUGAAAAGUGAGACAGGGCAUUUCACAAAGGCUGUGAUUCAAUGAUAACCUCGACCUGAAAUGUUUGGGAACUGACUCACGGAUCUAUAACUCUUAAAUCACUGAACAAACCAACACCAAAUAAAAGAGUUAGAGGUGCAGACUUCUCUGUGAGAAGUUUGUAAAAUCCUUGAUGUGCUGCUUUUCACCUUGGAAAAUCUUUCUCUCCUCUCCUGUACACACCUAUGCCAGCUGGUAAUUGCCUGAGCUGGAGGUGUGCCAUAGCCCAGCACCUUACAGCCCUUCAUCUGGUUCAGAGGUUAUUGAUCCCAGAGUGCCCUAGAAAUUAGAGCAGACAAUGCAACAAAGCACUGGGGUAACAAAACUGUCCUUUCUUUGGUGAAUAAUACUUGUGGCAUUUCAAUUGCAUUGUAUGGGUUAAAAUCAUCAGCAUGGAAACAGCAGUUUAUUUCAGCACCAGCAAAACUAACUUACUUGUCUUAAUUCGUUGGGGUUUUUAAAGACAAAGGUACAAUCCUUCUAAUUAGGGGAAAAAUAUUUUUUGUUAAGUUAACAACCAAUCUGAGAAAUCAAUUAUUUGUGUAACCCUAUUUCAUAUCAUCGUUGCAGUUGGUGCCAAGCUGUUUUAGUUCAAUGUCAUUAGCACGAAUUGUAAUCUUAGCCAUAUUAGUUUGGAGUUUGCUGAUCUUUAAGACUCUUUUGUAAUUGGCAAAAUUCUGAGGAAAAAGCCUGUGACAGAAGCUUGCAAUAAAUAUAAUUGGUUGCAGACAGCUAAACAAAUCUCUGCUUAAAACUGGUAAAGCUUGUGGUAGUAAAUAAAUGUGAAAUGGUGAGUGGGAACUGUGGAUUGGCUGGUUCAGCAGCUGAAUAGUUUAAUGAAACAGUUGAUUUAGAACUCUGUCCACAAGGCUUGGACUAAAACUCUUGUAGUAAAUCUGAAUCAUGCAUUGAUGGCCUUGGUGAAAUUAGGUUUUUUUGCUUCGUAGGAUUACAUAUCUGAUGAACAAAAAAAAAAUUGAAUUGUUAUGGUUUGCUUGGGCUUCUCUGAGACAUUUGGCUAUAAAUGCCAUAUGACAUCUGAUUUUUGGCUUUGGACAAAAACUCCAAAACAAAAAUACCUUACUUAGAUAAUGCAAGGUGUUAUGAGAAAAUGGAUAAGUUCACAACUGGUCUGCUUGCUGGCAUAACUCAACAUAGUUGUUGAUGGGAGGUUGUUUGUGAGUUUCUAGCAAUGGAUGUUUUCUGAUUCAGCAUUGCUGAAUGUUUCUGCCAUUUUGCCAAUGGUUUGAAACCUGAGGCAAUACAUACCUUGCAAAUCACUGAGUAACAAACAUUAAAUAUGAGCCUUCUGAGGCACUAAUCAAGACUGUCUACUUGUAUGACUGUUUUGGUGAUGUGCCUCUUGAUUUAGCCAACAGUAGGGUAAUAAGUGUAUGUGGGAACUGAGGGCAAGGACCUGCUUAACAGCUGAUACUCUGCCUUGGAAAGCAGUAGGCUAGAAUAAGAUAAGAGGUAGCUUGAGAAGUCCUGUCUUUAGCUGGAGCUCUGAGGGAAUGCCUGGGGCAACUAGAGGCCAGCAGGAUUUUGAAAAAGAGAAACACUUGGUUUACAAAUAAUGUGCCUGCUUUGUGGUAAGAAUUCCUUAUGUAUCUUCCUUGUGAAAUUCAAGAACUCUUGUGAAAUUCAAGAACUCUGCUCUCUUCAUCUCCAAUGCUGCUGCAAAAGCCUAAGCUGAAAGAAAAUUUGUAUAUUUCUGCAAGUACCAGACUUUGUAGGCGGCCCAGAGAUAAAAGCAAAGAUGAUGCAUCUUCAUUCAAAGAGGUGUGAUAAGUUUGGGGAUUUUUCAUUGCUGUCUUCCUUUCCUUCCAGUGAUUAGAGAUAAACAUUUCAUGGAAUAGGCUGAUGACUGGUGGUUGGAAGGAGAUCAAGCAAAUCUAAGACUCUUUCUUUUGAGAAGCAGAUUUCUAGCCACUAGAACACCUCCUUGAAAUUGCAGCUGCACACCUUUCUAUCUCUUUAUUUCAGCAGCUGGUGUAGUUAGGUUAUUUUAGUGAAUCACUUGCUAAUUUUCUACAGUAUAAUUGCUUGAUAGAAAAUAUUUUUAGAGAGAUAUGACCUCUCAGAAGUGAGUGCAGCUUAGGACCAGUCUGUUCCUGUGACACAUGAAAUACAUCCUAAUCCAUUAAGGUCAGAUGAACUGGACACUUGCUCACAGGGGCAGGGUCUUCAGCCAAAAGAAUUUAUACCGAUUAAACGCUUUUUUAGAACUCUUUGCAUGAAUUUCUAACCUUUAAAUGAGUCACCCCUUGGGAGAUCACUGAUGACACAGCCACUUGUCUCAAAAUUCAGCCGCUUGAUCUUUAUUGAACUUGAUGAGCAAACAUUUAAAUGAUAAUUGAGACACUAAUUAAAUGCGGUGCCUGUUCUUGUGAUUGAGAAUUGAAAGGAAAGACUAAAUUAUUUAGUGACAAUUUGGGGUAUUACAGGUCCAGAUCUUUAGCAGACUUGGAAGAAAGAAGGGUUUGUUCAGAUGUUUGAACUGUCUGCUGCUGCUGCCCAGUGCUCAGAACAUCACAGUUGAUCCCCUGGCAUUACAAAAGCAUCAACUAGGAGCCCAGUCACCACAGUUUGCUACUGAGUGCCAGGACAUUAUAUUUGCUCUGAUGAGCAAAAUCGAACCUUGGUUUUGUUUUGCCCUUUCUUGUCAUUUUUGUUGUGCAAUCUUGACACUAUUAUCUAUGUUGCAUUUGUAAGUUCACAUACCUUUUUAAAACACGAACUGGCUCCUGACUGCAAUCGAAUUGUUUAAUUUCGUAUUUCAAAUUAUUCUGUAUUUCCUUAAUAUCAAUUACUAAUAAAUUAGUUGCUUCUUCUUACAUUUCCCUGCCCUUUAUCGCUGUUCAUGUACAUCCCAUUUCUGUUCUUUUUCCCUGUAGAAAUACUUAUGGCAUCUGUUAAGGUGUGAGGUUAUUAGACCUAAUCAAAAUGUCUCAGGCUCUUUAGUAAGUCACGUAUUACUGUAUUCACAAAUGACUUUAGGUGACUAUUCCUCCCAGUGCAGUCGAGUAUCACUGCUACUCUGUCUGUCCAGGAAGCAGAAAAUGAAACUCGUGCUUGGCACUUCCAUAGGGAUCUCUGAGGUAGGUAAAAAUUUCAUCAUUGCCAGUGAUUUGUGCCCUGUGCAGAACAGAUUUGUUCAACAGGCCUGACAAUACUUAUGAGCUUGGUACAGCGCCAGUUUUGCUUCCUCCUUUCCUAUCCUUUCCAUACCGACAGUGUGCAGCAGACCAAUUUCCUUCACUGGGGGGAGUCAGGAACUGCUAUGGGAACAGAUGCUAGGGAAGCAGAUGGGGUAAGAGUUGGUUUGGAGCAAUGACAACUCCGUAACCUUUCAGCGUCAGCCUGAGAUUGCAACUUUCCCUGUAUUCCCUGGCAGAAGGCAAGUCCAGGCACAGGAGAAAGCACAGGCUUAGCCCUGCGCUCAAGCAGUGGUAGGUGGCAGCUGGGCUUAUUGAGCACAGCGUGCUGGCCCUGAAAAGGCAAAUCCUGCUGGAGCAGGGCUUUUCCUGUGUUAGAAAGGAAGUACUUCGGGCUUUUUGAAGAGUUUGGCCUCGCAGGGCCUACCAGCCCAGCAGCAAUAUGAACUCUUGUUUUACAUGUACUGAAACAGAUGCUCUUUGUGAACUGACCUAAAGUUGCUUCUCUGGUAAGGGACAUUGACUCCCACGCUGUUCUGUAAAACUGAGUGACAAGUGUGUGUCCCCGACCACCCAGAAGGCCCAGGGCAGAGCAAGGUGUGACAUAAAGAUGCACAGCCUCCCAGCCACGCAGCUGACACGUGGUUCCCCACGUGGAGCACAGCUGGGCUCUCCUCCAUUUCCACAGGGGCAAAGUCAGGAGUUUUGUUCCUCUUUGUCUUUUGUUAAGGGGCAAGGGGAUGUUUGGUGUUUGUGUUUGCACAUUUUGGAGGAAAAAAAACCCCAAACAACAGCAAUAUGGUUCUCCACCGUGAUUUAUUUGGCUGUUUCAUAGUAUAGUGGAGAACUUCAAAAUUCUAAGGACAUAAGUCUUCAGUAGCUGAAUUAAAUUUGCUCUUUCAGCUAGGUAAAAUCCUGUUUAAAUGUUCUCAAUUGAAAAUCAGGAUUUAAAACAUGUAAUGAGGCUGCAGGGAGCUCCUUCUUUUAAAGUAUGUAUCCCAGAUACCCCAGGUGGUUUCUUCAGGAUGCGUUACAAAAUAUUAACUAUGGCAAACUACAAGGCUAAGGCCAAACAAGUUCUUUUUGGGUCACGCAUUAAUUCUUUCUGGUGAUUGAUAAACACGAAGAUUGUUAAGAUUAAGAGAUACCCUUCCUUUUAUUUAAAAAUGUACUUCAAACCUGACCAACUGACCAUCAAAAUAAUUUAUAUUUUUUCAACCUUGAAAUAUGUUUUAGUUAAUGGAAUUUCCUCUUCUGAAGCUGAAUGACUGUUAACACAGAAUCUGACUCAAAAGCUGCCUUCCUAUGCAUAAUUUAUUUAGCAGGGAGCCAAUGAUAACAUAUUAGCACAUACCUGAAGAUGCUUGGUCCCAUUGUGAUGAGAGGCCUUAAGAGCAAUGGCAUGGAUGUGAUGGGACUGGAAAUAAAAUUAAUGUAAUUGUACAUUUAGUGCAUUUGUUCACAGAGCUCCCAAAAAUUUUCUUUAUUAAGUGACUGUCACUUGAGAAGCAAUAGAAGAGCAAAAAUAAAUGACUUUGUACAGCACAUCUUGGUUUGCUGUAUUACUCUUCAACGUAAGAUUUUACCUUGUGUCUCAGGACCACAUGAAUCACAGCGAAGGGAAGCUGACAGCUUCCUAAUACUCUUUUUGCAUGAGCCUGUCUAUCCCUUUUCCAUCCAUUCAUCCAAAACCCAAAAUUAAACUAAACAAAAACCCAGCGCGGUACUUGGCUGAAAUACUUUUCUGUAUAUGUAUAUAGACCUAAAUCAGAGACUUUUCAUAAAGUACUGUGUGUUGGGUAACUUGGAAUAAAAAUACUGUUCAGCUGAUGGCUCAUGCUGGUGGUACCUGUCAUGUGUGUCAAACAUCAGGUUUUUCAUGGUGCUAAGUGGAAGGUGAAUGCCAAGUGGGCCUGUGUGUGUUACCAGCUGUCAGGCUGAACUUGAGAAGCACGAUUAAGGUAUCUCCCUGCAGGAAGCUGUUCUGUCAGCUGGAUCACAGUGUGGAGAUGCUGUGAUUUUCUGUGGUGGACAAAGGCCAGGCUCCUCUGAGGAGAUGUGGUCAAGCAGAGCUUUGCAGUCUGCUGCAGUGGUCGAGGUUCCUAAUCUGACACUUGUCACCAGCCAACUGCACAUUCUCCAAGAUGGGAGAGUAGUUCUGAGCGUUAGAGCAUUAGCAAAAUAUUAAAAUAUAUGUCAUUGUCACACAUUGGGCACUGUAGAUUUACAGCUUAAGAAAAAAUCAGUAUCUAUUGCUUGAGAAGGCUGAUAUCAGCUGAUAAAGCUGAUUUGUGUCAUUAUGAGAAGUCCGGUCUCAUCCAAAAAAAUUAUAGAGGAGCAGGGAUGGGUCAGCAGUUGGCAGUUUGGAGAAGAAUGUCACAACCUAUGAAUAUGUUUUCUUACAUCAUGAGUGCUAGGAGACAAAGAUGAAAACCAGCUGAUAGGAUACAGGCAACCAUUACAGAGGAAAUACUGGAUGUCAGAAGAGGGGCGGGAAGCAAUGCCAAGGUCCAGAGCACCUUUAGAUGCUGGAACCACCUGAAACCUCCUGAAAUCGCUCACCACGGCUCAAACCACUUUUAAUAAACAGGUAACUAAAAUUCAAGCACUUCCUUUAUAAAGCCUUUUGGUUUCAGGAAAGUGAAUCACUGUCUGACAGUUCGGUGGGAGGUUAUUCAUCCAGGAUUGCUUCACUCCUUCGUGGAGAUGCUUGGUGAGCAGCUCUGCACGCUGGCAGGCUGCUUCAGCCAGGCAUGUACUCCUACAAGUGCCACCUGCUCUGUUAUAAUCCUUGCCUCACUUAAGUCGCCAGCAUCUUUCUGCUUGAUCUGCAGGGUAGCUCCCUCGUGUUGAACUUGGCUGCUCUUUUAGGAGAGUAACAGUUUGAGGAGCUGUUUGGCUCAGUAGCACUUGGCAACCUCAGGAAGCAAAUGCAUUCAGCUGGGCAGUGGGCACACGUACGUGCAAGGGGGGCUGCUGUGUGCCCCAUCCUGCAGUGUUAGUUCACAGCAUGCCUGUGCCUCGGAGGCACUCGCUGUGCAGCUGACACAGCCCUCAGGCAUCAGGCAGCUGGGGAAAUUGCCACAGAAGCUUUAGCAAGAAAACACAUAAUAGCCAAAGUCGAAGGGUGAAUUGAGAUACAGUGGGGGAGGCAGCUAUUAUGUUCUAGCUCUCUUUAAAAACCAUUCUGAGACGUGUAAGGUAUUGUGUUGUGUUUGUUGCUGGAUUUAAGACUGCUGACUGCCAGGCGGUGAAGGUCACUUUGUGCUUCCUUCUUUAAGGCAAGUUGCUGCUGUUUAUAUUAACAAGGGAGCAGCAGUGCUGGCUAACUCCUGGCAUGUUAACCUGCAUCUCUCCCGGGCAGCAGGCCUCUGCUGCGCUCCCUCAGGACCUGUAUAGUUGGAGAGUUGUAUAUCAUGUAGGUGUCAAGCCCAAUCAGAGCUUCCUUGUCAGGAUGUGUUAAGGCAGUUGCCUGCAAUUUGUGUUACAGUGUGCAUCUCUGCCAAUAAACUACUUUUGCUCUCCCUUGUGCUGCGUCUGCCGUCUGCAGGGCUGCUGGGAGAGCUGCCAGAGAGAGAGAGCAACUGCAGGCACAAAGGUGGCUGGGUGGCACCUCUUGUAAUCUGUGUUCUGCAUGAUGUAUUGAUUGACUUUGUGGAUGGAUCCCAGGGGCUGAACACAAACAGCAUGUACCAGAGCAUGACAUUUUAAUCAGAGACAGGUUUAACUACUGGGAGCAGCUCGGGUAAUGCCUACUUUAAAAAAAAAAAAAAAAAAAAAAAAUUAAAGAAAGAAAAUUGCACCAAAAAAAAAAAAGGGUGUAUGCUGGUUAUUGCUUAGGAACUCUGUGUAGUCGUGCAGUUAAACAUGAGAUACAAAUGAGUAGGUUGUGACAGGACCAAGAGCACUUUGAAGUAAAGCUGUAGUAAGUGUAAAUUGGGGAUACAAGUCAAGACACUGAAAUAAGCUUUUUGCAUGUGCACGCGCAGACGCCAGGGCUAAGCAGCAGAUCCUGGUCAGUGCAGCACCAUUCCUGCCAGCCAGCUGUAAAAUCACUUGGCUCAGGGGAUAGAAAGGUGUUCAUGCUGCAGCAGGUUGGGCUGGCAGGGAACUAGAGAGAUUUAAAAGAAGGUGGCUGGAGUUUUCUCUGUGUUUGCAGAGUAUUUGUAUUAGAGAGUUGUGAGAAAGAUGGAGCUCUUUUGGGUUGGGUCAGCUCACCCCACCAAUAUCUUGAGUAAGGGUUGAAAAAUGACCGCCUCAGAAACGCUAGGGAAUGUUAUCCUCCUCCUUAGCCUGUAACACACUGUGUAGCAGAGUUUAACCUUCUGUAGUAAAAUCUCAGGCUCCCUGAAGAGCUCUGUUAACCUUGAAAAUCUGUGUAGUCUGUUACUUUCUACCUGCAAAGUAGAAAGCACCUCUUAUUCCCAGGCAUGAAUGACACUGAGUCUGGUCCAGAGGCAGACUUGAAAGGACAUCCAUCUGCUGUUUGUGGGAAUUUAACUGAGCAGAAACUUCUGAAACACCAAAAACAGAGAGAAUAGCAGAAUUAUUCCCAAAGCGCUGCCUGCCUUCUAAUUGCUGGCCACCUCCUUUUGUGAAAAGAAGCAAGAGAAAGAGUUCACACAAGCACGAGUGCUUUGCAGACUUCUCUUUUGGGGAAAGCAGUUGUCUUUCUUCUCUUGUUUUUGGAUGCUUAAAAUGAGGAAAGCAACAUAUCAGACUGCAGAGAGAGGAAAACCAGUCAAUGUUACCUUGGUAUCUGACGAUCAAAGGUAUGACCCCCCUCUGCUGUGCCCUGAGAACGGCAGUAACCAUUCCCUGAGGGAACAGCACGUAGUUCAAAGCAGGAAGUGUCCCUUCCCUCCCUGUGUGGCCACACAGACCAGGAGCUGCCUGUCUGCCUGCCUUGGGAGAGCAGGGUAUUUAGCUUUUCCCAAUAGAAAAAGGGCAGCUUAACCAGUUCUCCUCUGCCAACAAAAAGAAGCAGGGAGAUGAAUCUCAGAGAAUGACUAUUGCCUGGGUAGUGGCACGGCUGGCACCUAUUUCCUUGCGAAGAACCAGUGGGCUACAGUUAUUAAAUAACAGGAAUUUUUAAAAUUCAUGGUCAGCUUUACCACUGGGCUUCCUUUCAUCAUUUCAAAAGUCUGUGAUUUUAUUCUGACUACUAUAGUUUAAAUGCAGAAAAUAAUAGAAGCUAAGAGAAAAACUGUUCGUUCUUUGCAUUCAACUACCAUUUUACUGUGUGCAUUUUAACGCUCAAAAUGUAAUGGCUGCUGGCUGGCAUUUCUAUCCUGUUGUAGGGCCUGGAUUCCUCUCAUGUUUCUAAUGAGGCACAAAGUAUAGAGAACAUAAAUGACAGGAAAAAGCUACAGUUUUUUUAAUGACCAAAAUCAUAUAUAUUUUAAAGCUCUAGCCUAAGGUUACAGCACAACAAAGCAGGCAAUGUCUCUUUCAUCUGCAGUUUACUUGAAAACUAGGACUGAAUUUCAGUCUCCCCAGGUGACAGAAAGCAGCAGAGAGCCCCCAGUACAAAAGCAAAGACCCAGUCAUGCACCAUCCAGCACUGUAGAGUCUAUGUGAGCUAUCUUCCAAGAAUACGGUGAUACCUUUCUUUACAGGAGUAAAGCAGAUAAGGGAAGGACUGUCAGAGAGCCAAAUGAGACAAAAGGAAAUGAAGGAACAAUUAAAAUGAGUCAAUACUGUGAAGCUAUUAGGUGAGGGCAUUACAAUAUCUGAUGUGAGAGAUCUUAAUUGGGACACAUGUAACAUUUGCCCCCACCUCACCAGGCAAAGGGUUGCACUGACUUUGCUGUUAGAAAUGAUGAACAGCAUUGGCUCAUCUAAGUUCUUAAUAUACAUCACACCUUUUGUAUGAAUUUUCGCACGGAACUCUGGGGAAACUUUCUGAGAUGAGAAUUAUUUUUUGUCACCUGCAAAUUGCACUUUUGUGAGGGGCUAUACCGAGGAAAAAGUAGGUGAGAUGUUGUUGGGGCAAGCUGGAGCACCAAGGCUGCACAGCUGACAAAUGAGAUUUCUGACAAGGAGAGGUGUAGAGAAAAAGAA